AUUGAACGCUGGCGGCAUGCCUUACACAUGCAUGUCGAACGGUAACAGGUCUUCGGAUGCUGACGAGUGGCGAACGGGUGAGUAAUACAUCGGAACGUGCCCGAGAGUGGGGGAUAACGAGGUGAAAGCUUUGCUAAUACCGCAUACGAUCUCAGGAUGAAAGCAGGGGACCGCAAGGCCUUGCGCCCACGGAGCGGCCGAUGGCAGAUUAGGUAGUUGGUGGGAUAAAAGCUUACCAAGCCGACGAGCUGUAGCUGGUCUGAGAGGACGACCAGCCACACUGGGACUGAGACACGGCCCAGACUCCUACGGGAGGCAGCAGUGGGGAAUUUUGGACAAUGGGCGCAAGCCUGAUCCAGCCAUGCCGCGUGCAGGAUGAAGGCCUUCGGGUUGUAAACUGCUUUUGUACGGAACGAAAAGACUCCUUCUAAUAAAGGGGGUCCAUGACGGUACCGUAAGAAUAAGCACCGGCUAACUACGUGCCAGCCGCCGCCGUAACAC
rnacentral:rRNA from 1 species